UACAGAGGUGGCGAGCGUUAUUCGGAAUUAUUGGGCGUAAAGGGCGCGUAGGCGGCCAGAUAAGUCCCGGGUGAAAUCCCUCGGCUCAACCGAGGAACUGCCUUGGAAACUGUCUGGCUCGAGGCCGGGAGAGGGUAGUGGAAUUCCCAGUGUAGCGGUGAAAUGCGUAGAUACUGGGAGGAACACCGGUGGCGAAGGCGGCUACCUGGACCGGCAUUGACGCUGAGGCGCGAAAGCCAGGGGAGCAAACGGG
rnacentral:rRNA from 1 species